rnacentral:lncRNA from 1 species
CAGGAAGUACAGCAGCCUUUGAAUUGGCUCCGUGUGAUCUCCUCACAACCUUUCUAAAUCAGACAGCCAAGUGCAAAGCUAAUCCAACUGAAACAUUUCUCAUGUACAGAGAGGAAGAAACUGGGGAGCACAGAAGAGACACUUCUGUAUGUCCUGAAUUUUGGCUUGGAAAUAUUGGUAAGAAAUUGAGCCUGUGCAUAGAACCAUGUCUGGAAUUACGUUGCAGAGGGUGGCAUCCACAUAGAAUACAAUGUUCUGACAUGCUAAACUGGGUCAUGACUCCAUUUUCCAUAUGGAUACUGUCAAAGGAAAAAAGUAGUUUAAGUGAAUCGAAUUGAGAUUAAAGUAUUUAUCCAGCUCGUGCACAUCAGGAAUGACUUGAAAAUCAGAAACAUCCGCUGCUCUGUAGCUGUCACAUAGAAGAUGCUCCUGAACCUACCUGCAUGCUGACAGUGUCAGGGAGCUCAGCACCCAGAGGCAGGAUACUCCACUCCCCACAGCGUCAUUGCCUGGGUGUCAGCUCUGGAAUGUACUUGAAAUUGUG